rnacentral:rRNA from 1 species
GGGGUAACCGGCCUACCAAGGCAAAGACGGGUAGCUGGUCUGAGAGGAUGAUCAGCCACACGGGGACUGAGACACGGCCCCGACUCCUACGGGAGGCAGCAGUGGGGAAUAUUGCGCAAUGGGCGGAAGCCUGACGCAGCGACGCCGCGUGGGGGAUGACGGCCUUCGGGUUGUAAACCUCUUUCAGCAGGGGCGAAGCGGAAGUGACGGUACCUGCAGAAGAAGCACCGGCCAACUACGUGCCAGCAGCCGCGGUAAUACGUAGGGCGCGAGCGUUGUCCGGAAUUAUUGGGCGUAAAGAGCUCGUAGGCGGCUUGUCGCGUCGGUUGUGAAAGCCCGGGGCUUAACCCCGGGUCUGCAGUCGAUACGGGCAGGCUAGAGUUCGGUAGGGGAGAUCGGAAUUCCUGGUGUAGCGGUGAAAUGCGCAGAUAUCAGGAGGAACACCGAUGGCGAAGGCGGAUCUCUGGGCCGAUACUGACGCUGAGGAGCGAAAGCGUGGGGAGCGAACAGGAUUAGAUACCCUGGUAGUCCACGCCGUAAACGGUGGGCAC